rnacentral:rRNA from 1 species
CCUACGGGUGGCAGCAGUGAGGAAUAUUGGUCAAUGGGCGCGAGCCUGAACCAGCCAAGUCGCGUGAGGGAGGACGGCCCUACGGGUUGUAAACCUCUUUUGCCGGGGAGCAACGGGCGUCACGUGUGGCGCCACUUAUAGUCCCCGUAGACAAAGCAUCGGCUAACGCCUUGCCAGCAGCCGCGUUAAUACGGGGGAUGCGAGCGUUAUCCGGAUUUAUUGGGUUUAAUGGGUGCUUAGGCGGAUCGUUAAGUCAGUGGUCAAAUUGAGGGGCUCAACCCCUUACCGCCAUUGAAACUGGCGCUCUUGAGUGGAAGAGAAGUAGGCGGAAUGCGUGGUGUAGCGGUGAAAUGCAUAGAUAUCACGCAGAACCCCGAUUGCGAAGGCAGCAUGCCGGCUUCCGACUGACGCUGAAGCACGAAAGCGUGGGGAUCGAACAGGAUUAGAUACCCUUGUAGUC